GGCAGACGCUCAUGGGCGUUUCCUCCCUGACUUGGGGCCCCGCCGCGAUCCCCGCGCGGGGCCCUCCUUCCUUUCACGG
rnacentral:sRNA from 1 species